AUUCAAAUAAUUUAAAUAUUAAAAUAUUAGCUUGUGGCGCUAGAAAUGUAUAGAAUAUACUUUGAGUA
rnacentral:tRNA from 1 species